rnacentral:rRNA from 1 species
AUGCAUCUCCUCAUAGAUUUCACCUUGCUCCUCUUCCUGUGCACCCAAGCAAAUUCUGCCGCGACGGACUCCAUCUUGACCGGCCAAGCACUUGCUGUCAGUGACAAGCUCGUCUCCAAAAAUGGCAGGUACGCGCUUGGCUUCUUCAACACAAGCAGCAGCCAAGACACCACCAACUGGUACCUUGGCAUAUGGUUCAAUACAGUCCCCAAGUUUACUUCCGCAUGGGUCGCAAAUAGGGAUACACCAAUCAAGAGCACCACCGCACUAGAGCUCACAAUCUCCCAUGAUGGCAACCUUGUCAUCUUAAACGGGUCCACCAAGUCUAUAAUCUGGAGCACACAAGCAAACAUCACAAGAAAUAGCACCACUGCUAUGCUUUUGAGUAGUGGAAAUCUCAUCCUGACAGACUCUUCAAACUCAGCAGAGGUUCUGUGGCAGAGCUUUGAUCACCCCAGAGAUACACUUUUCCCUGGGGCAAAGCUUGGAUGGGAUAAGGUCACUGGCCUGAACCGUAAGCUCGUCUCUUGGAAGAACUUGAUUGGCCCAGCUACCGGUGUGUACUGUCAUAGGUUAGACCCCAGUGGUGUCAAUCAGUUAUUGCUUACACCAUUGAACUCCUCCAUACCAUAUUGGUCGAGCGGUGUAUGGAACAACAAAUACUUUCUCUCAAUAGCAGAGAUGACAAGCAGCAACCAAGUUUCGAACACAACAUUUGUCCACAACGACCAAGAGAAGUACAUGGUAUUUAACUUAGUCGAUGAAUCUAUGGUUACUCAUUUUGCAGUUGACGUCUCAGGUCGACUAAAACAAUCCAUUUGGUUGGAGAGUUCACAGGAUUGGACAAUGAUCUAUGCCCAACCAAAACUUCAGUGUGAUGUCUAUGCAAUCUGUGGACCUUUCACAAUUUGCAAUGAUAAUGAGCUUCCAUAUUGCAAUUGUAUGGAGGGCUUCACCAUAACAUCCCCCGAGGAUUGGGAGCUAGAGGAUCGAACCAGUGGCUGCUCAAGAAUUACUCUGUUAGAAUGCAUUAGCAAUAAAAGCACAACUCAUACAACAGACAAGUUCUACUCUGUGCCAUAUGUUGAGUUGCCGCAGAAUGCCCCAAAAGUCGAAGCUCCUGCAAGCCCGAAUGAGUGCGCACAAAUUUGCCUGAAUAAUUGCUCUUGCAUGGCAUAUUCCUUCAAUGAUGAAAAAUGUUCUAUCUGGCAUAAUGAAUUGCUCAACAUAAGAGAACUACAAUGUAGUGGUACUACAUGUUCAAUCGGAGAAACUCUUAAUCUUCGUGUUUCUGCUAAAGAUUUCCACAGAUUGACAAACAACAUUGCAACUGGUGCAGGCAUUUCUGCUCUAGGUUUAUGUGCACUUUCUCUCCUGGUAAUGAUUUGGAGAAACAAAAGUAAGAGCUCUAGCCAUACACUGGAUGGUGUUCAAGGUUGUAACAGAAUCAUUGCAUUUAGAUACACUGAUUUACAGCACGCCACAACAAAAUUCAAAGAUAAGUUGGGGGCAGGCAGUUUUGGUUCUGUAUUUUAGGGUUUUUUAAAUGACUCAGUAGCUAUAGCAGUGAAAAGGCUUGACAGUGCUUAUCAAGGAGAGAAGCAAUUCAGAGUUGAAGUGAGCUCGAUUGGAGCUGUCCAGCACAUCAAUUUAGUUAAGCUUGUCGGUUUCUGUUGUGAGGGUUCCAAGAGGUUGCUUGCUUAUGAACACAUGUCAAAUGGCUCUCUUGAUGUCCAUUUAUUUUGAAACAAUACGACGAUAUUGAGUUGGACUAUUAGAUAUCAGACAGCCAUAGGGGUUGCUCGAGGUUUAACCUACUUGCAUGAGGGAUGUCGAGACUGCAUCAUACACUGUGAUAUUAAGCCAGAAAACAUACUUCUUGAUGAUUCAUUCAUUCCCAAAGUUGCAGACUUUGGGAUGGCAAAGCUUUUGGGAAGGGUCCGAAGGGAAUUUAGCCGAGUACUGACUACAAUGAGAGGAACUGCUGGGUACCUUGCACCUGAAUGGAUCAGUGGUGUUGCUGUUACACAAAAAGUCGAUGUGUAUAGCUAUGGGAUGAUGUUGCUGGAAAUUAUAUCUGGAAAAAGGAAUUCAAGUGCAUCAUGUUCUAGUGGUGGCAGCAACUGUGAUGUUUAUUUCCCUGUUCAUGCCGCACACAAGCUUCUUGAAGGAGACGUUGGGAGUUUGAUAGAUCACAUGCUACAUGGUGAUGUCAAUCUAGACGAGGCUAAAUUGGCUUGCAAGGUCGCAUGUUGGUGCAUCCAAGACCAUGAGCAUGAUCGACCAACAAUGGGACAGGUAGUUCAGAUUCUCGAAGGGCUAGUUGAGAUCAGGAUGCCCUCGGUACCAAGAGUGCUCGAAGCUAUGGCUGAAAGUUUGCAUUCCGUGUGGUCCUAA